UACGGUGGGGGCAAGCGUUGUUCGGAAUUACUGGGCGUAAAGGGCGUGUAGGCGCUUUGGAAAGUCUUGGGGGAAAGCCCCGAGCUUAACUCGGGAAGUGCACAAGAAACUGUUGAAUUUGAGUUCCGGAGAGGAAGGCAGAAUUCCCGGUGUAGCGGUGAAAUGCGUAGAUAUCGGGAGGAAUACCAGUGGCGAAGGCGGCCUUCUGGACGGAUACUGACGCUGAGGCGCGAAAGCCAGGGGAGCAAACGGG
rnacentral:rRNA from 1 species